rnacentral:rRNA from 1 species
AGAAAAGCAGGGGAUCGCAAGACCUUGCGCUCUUAGAGCGGCCGAUGUCUGAUUAGCUAGUUGGUGAGGUAAAGGCUUACCAAGGCGUCGAUCAGUAGCUGGUCUGAGAGGACGACCAGCCACACUGGGACUGAGACACGGCCCAGACUCCUACGGGAGGCAGCAGUGGGGAAUUUUGGACAAUGGGGGAACCCUGAUCCAGCCAUGCCGCGUGAGUGAAGAAGGCCUUCGGGUUGUAAAGCUCUUUCAGCCGGAACGAAACGGUCACGGCUAAUACCUGUGAUCACUGACGGUACCGGAAGAAGAAGCACCGGCUAACUACGUGCCAGCAGCCGCAGUAAUACGUAGGGUGCGAGCGUUAAUCGGAAUUACCGGGCGUAAAGCGUGCGCAGGCGGUUUUGUAAGUCAGAUGUGAAAUCCCCGGGCUUAACCUGGGAACUGCGUUUGAAACUACAAGG